AUUGAACGCUAGCGGGAUGCUUUACACAUGCAAGUCGAACGAGUGGCGGACGGGUGAGUAAUAUAUCGGAACGUGCCCCGUCGCGGGGGAUAACUACUCGAAAGCGUGGCUAAUCCCGCAUCCUAUUGGAGCGGCCGAUAUCGGAUUAGCUAGUUGGGGGGGUAAAGGCUCACCACGGCCACGAUCCGUAGCUGGUUUGAGAGGAAGACCAGCCACACUGGGACGUAGACACGGCACAGACGCCGACGGUAGGCAGCAGUAGGGAAUUUUGGACAAUGGGGGCAACCCUGAUCCAGCCAUCCCGCGUGUAUGAGAAGGCCUUCGGGUGGUAAAGUACUUUUGGCAGAGAAGCGGUAUCUGCAGAAUAAGCACCGGCUAACUACGUGCCAGCAGCCGCGGUAAUAC
rnacentral:rRNA from 1 species